rnacentral:rRNA from 1 species
GUCCAUGCCGUAAACGUUGGGCGCUAGGUGUGGGGACCUUCCACUGUCUCCGUGCCGCAGCUAACGCAUUAAGCGCCCCGCCUGGGGAGUACGGCCGCAAGGCUAAAACUCAAAGGAAUUGACGGGGGCCCGCACAAGCGGCGGAGCAUGCUGAUUAAUUCGAUGCAACGCGAAGAACCUUACCUGGGUUUGACAUAUGCCGGAAAGCCAUAGAGAUAUGGCCCCCCUUGUGGUCGGUAUACAGGUGGUGCAUGGCUGUCGU